GAUGGCGCUGACGUAAAACACGGAAUACUAACCACAUUCUAUCUGUCAUGCACCAAUACAACUAAAAAGGCGUUUCAUUUUAAUAAAACUCAUCGACGGACCAUGAUCGUCCUCUUUCCAAACCAGAUCCUCGAGUGAAUUAGUAGUGCGCGACGUGACUAGUUUAUCCAUAAAUUUGAAGUAGUCAUUGUUAAAAACCUCAAGUGGUGAAUUUUCUAAUAAGUUUGUGUUGUUCUUAAUAGGCGAAAAUCAAGCUGGCAAAAAGGCAGUUUUUGUUCAAUAGUACGAAGUAGUGAAUAGUAUUACGCCAGCCAUUGUAGCCAUAAAAGCAUCAUUGUUCUAUUGUUUGCUUGUGAUUCACGCGGUGGAUCCGCGGAGAAUCCGACGUACCACUGGGAAAGCCAUCUUCUGUCCGGCCGUCCGCCGAAAGUUCAGCUAUUCUCCUUUCCGUCAGUCCGCCGAGGAUCAAGCCACCACCAGUUCCGGCAGUCCGCCGAGUGAUCAGCCGCGGACCAAGUCCCCAUCCACUCAGGCAGCCCGCCGAGUGUCAGCCAUUUUCCUUCCGGCAUUCCGCCGAAGACCAAGCCAUCUCCAGUCAGGCCGUCCGCCGACAAACAAGCCAUCCGUUCGGCAUUCCGCCGAAGACCAAGCCAUCUCCAGUCCGGCCGUCUGCCGACCAACAAGCCACCCUUUUGACAGUCCGCCGAAAGCUCUGCCAUUUUCCAUCUGGCAGUCCGCCGUCAACCAAGCUGCACUAAGCUACGGCCGUCCGUCGAGUCAAACUACAACCACCGUCCGCCGAGAGUCGCCGAUUACGCUUAUUCCGGCAACCCGUCCAAUAGCCAACCAUCCACCAAUCCAGCCACCCUGUGUCGUCAAUAUGUGCCACCGCCAGCCCAGAAUGACGUCACUAUGAUCUUCAGCAGCCAAAACCACCCACAAGAACCCGCAAGAUCGCCAAGCAUGCAAGUAUACCCCAAGUUUGUGACGUCACUACAAUAAAUACCUGUUAAGAUGAA